AUUUCCGCUUAGCAAUUUUGUUCAUUUCAUUUCUGCUGGAGUUAAGGUGUGGACGUGUUUUAAUUAAAAUGGCGCAUAGAUACGCAACACGUGGAAAAAUACCGCUUAAUGGAGGAUGACUUUUAAUACCGCUACUUUUAUAUAAUUGGAUACAUUAACCAAACUUAAUUACUACCAACAUUGACUGAAUUGCAUGGAAGGCUACCAAAAAUAAAAUGCAAUACGGUAUAUGACUACAUUAAAGUCUUGGCGCAGAACCAACGUAAAGCGACAGCCCAUCAAAUUGCAUUGUAUUUAUUUCAGCACAAUCGAUGGAUAUCUGAAUUGUUCUCUUGGUCGGACUACUAUAAUUAAGGUACUAUCUAUAUCAAGUAGUGCUUGGAUAUAUGUAACAACAGUACUAUGUCGUUAAAUUUACAUGGCAGGGAAAGCUGGAAGUUAACGUAUGAGAAUUAUUGAUUUGACACACUAUUGUGUGUAUUGUGAUAGCGAAAUGACGCAUAUACAAGUUUAUUAGCGACAUUCAAUUAUAGAAAUACAGCUUUUACUUAAAGUUUUGCUAUUGAUUCAGUGAAUCUUAUUUUACUCUGAUGAAAUGAUAGGAGUUAAACGCUAUUGACUUGAGUAACAAAACACUUAAAGGAAGUAGUAAAAACGGUUUCUAGUUGAAUAUAGUACUAGUUGCAGUAAUAUUCAUAAGGCUUACAAUGAUACUGAUGCUGAAACUAUGGUUAUGAUUUCGGAGAUAACCAGGGGAUUGAUAAAAAUACGUCAAAGUCUACUAAUGAGUAGCGUAAUUUAUUAUACACUUGAUUAAAUGUUACACAGAGUAUUAUCUGCAAUAAAUGUUAUAUACAAUUUUA